GUCGGUAGCUCAGGUGGUUAGAGCGCACGCCUGAUAAGCGUGAGGUCGGAGGUUCAAGUCCUCCCAAGCC
rnacentral:tRNA from 1 species